UGGGGAAUUUUGCGCAAUGGGCUAACGCCUGACGCAGCAACGCCGCGUGGAGGAUGAAGGUCCUUGGAUUGUAAACUCCUGUCAGCAGGGAAAAAGCGACCGGACCUAAAACGUCUGGGAGUUGAUUGUACCUGCAGAGGAAGCCCCGGCUAACUCUGUGCCAGCAGCCGCGGUAAUACAGAGGGGGCAAGCGUUAUUCGGAAUUAUUGGGCGUAAAGGGCGCGUAGGCGGCUUUUCAAGUGACGGGUGAAAUCCCUCGGCUUAACCGAGGAACUGCCUGUCAGACUGGAAGGCUUGAGACCGGGAGAGGUGAGUGGAAUUCCCAGUGUAGCGGUGAAAUGCGUAGAUAUUGGGAGGAACACCAGUGGCGAAGGCGGCUCACUGGACCGGAACUGACGCUGAGGCGCGAAAGCGUGGGGAGCAAACAGGAUUAGAUACCCUGGUAGUCCACGCCGUAAACGAUGAGUGCUUGGUGUAGCGGGUAUCGACCCCUGCUGUGCCGAAGUCAACACAUUAAGCACUCCGCCUGGGGAGUACGGUCGCAAGACUGA
rnacentral:rRNA from 1 species